rnacentral:rRNA from 1 species
UGUAGCGGUGGAAUGCGCAGAUAUCAGGAGGAACACCGAUGGCGAAGGCAGGUCUCUGGGCCGCAACUGACGCUGAGGAGCGAAAGCAUGGGGAGCGAACAGGAUUAGAUACCCUGGUAGUCCAUGCCGUAAACGUUGGGCACUAGGUGUGGGGCUCAUUCCACGAGUUCCGUGCCGCAGCAAACGCAUUAAGUGCCCCGCCUGGGGAGUACGGCCGCAAGGCUAAAACUCAAAGGAAUUGACGGGGGCCCGCACAAGCGGCGGAGCAUGCGGAUUAAUUCGAUGCAACGCGAAGAACCUUACCAAGGCUUGACAUGCACGGGAAGCCACCAGAGAUGGUGGUCUCUUUGGACACUCGUGCACAGGUGGUGCAUGGUUGUCGUCAGCUCGUGUCGUGAGAUGUUGGGUUAAGUCCCGCAACGAGCGCAACCCUCGUCCCAUGUUGCCAGCGGGUUAUGCCGGGGACUCAUGGGAGACUGCCGGGGUCAACUCGGAGGAAGGUGGGGAUGACGUCAAAUCAUCAUGCCCCUUAUGUCUUGGGCUUCACGCAUGCUACAAUGGCCGGUACAAAGGGCUGCGAUACCGUAAGGUGGAGCGAAUCCCAAAAAGCCGGUCUCAGUUCGGAUUGGGGUCUGCAACUCGACCCCAUGAAGUCGGAGUCGCUAGUAAUCGCAGAUCAGCAACGCUGCGGUGAAUACGUUCCCGGGCCUUGUACACAC